CAGCAUCAUCAAAGCUUGUUUUGAUGGAUGGCGACCGGCGCACGGGUGAGUAACACGUAUCCAACCUGCCGACAACACUGGGAUAGCCUUUCGAAAGAAAGAUUAAUACCGGAUGGCAUAAUUAUUCCGCAUGGGAUAAUUAUUAAAGAAUUUCGGUUGUCGAUGGGGAUGCGUUCCAUUAGGCAGUUGGCGGGGUAACGGCCCACCAAACCUACGAUGGAUAGGGGUUCUGAGAGGAAGGUCCCCCACAUUGGAACUGAGACACGGUCCAAACUCCUACGGGAGGCAGCAGUGAGGAAUAUUGGUCAAUGGACGAGAGUCUGAACCAGCCAAGUAGCGUGAAGGAUGACUGCCCUAUGGGUUGUAAACUUCUUUUAUACGGGAAUAAAGUGAGCCACGUGUGGCUUUUUGUAUGUACCGUAUGAAUAAGGAUCGGCUAACUCCGUGCCAGCAGCCGCGGUAAUACGGAGGAUCCGAGCGUUAUCCGGAUUUAUUGGGUUUAAAGGGAGCGUAGGCGGGUUGUUAAGUCAGUUGUGAAAGUUUGCGGCUCAACCGUAAAAUUGCAGUUGAUACUGGCGACCUUGAGUGCAACAGAGGUAGGCGGAAUUCGUGGUGUAGCGGUGAAAUGCUUAGAUAUCACGAAGAACUCCGAUUGCGAAGGCA
rnacentral:rRNA from 1 species